AACGAACGCUGGCGGCAUGCCUAACACAUGCAAGUCGAACGGGAAACGAUCCUUCGGGGUCGUGGAGAGUGGCGCACGGGUGAGUAACACGUAGAUAACCUGCCCUUCAGUCUGGGAUAACCCUCCGAAAGGGGGGCUAAUACUGGAUAAUAGCUUCUAUCGAGUGGUGGGGGUUUGAAAGCUUUAGUGCUGAAGGAGGGGUCUGCGUCCCAUUAGCUAGUUGGUAGGGUAACGGCCUACCAAGGCGACGAUGGGUAGCGGGUCUGAGAGGAUGAUCCGCCACACUGGCACUGAGACACGGGCCAGACUCCUACGGGAGGCAGCAGUGGGGAAUUUUGCGCAAUGGGCGAAAGCCUGACGCAGCAAUGCCGCGUGAGUGAAGAAGGCCU
rnacentral:rRNA from 1 species